rnacentral:rRNA from 1 species
UAGGGAAUAUUGGUCAAUGGGUGCAAGCCUGAACCAGCCAUGCCGCGUGCAGGAAGACGGCCUUCUGGGUUGUAAACUGCUUUUUUUCGGGGGAUAAAACGCCCAUGCGUGGGAGCUUGAAGGUACCCGAAGAAUAAGCCACGGCUAACUACGUGCCAGCAGCCGCGGUAAUACGUAGGUGGCGAGCGUUGUCCGGAUUUAUUGGGUUUAAAGGGUGCGUAGGCGGCCUAUUAAGUCAGUUCUGAAAUAUCCCGGCUUAACCGGGAGGGUGGGAUUGAUACUGAUGGGCUUGAGUGGAAUCGAGGUAGGCGGAAUUGACGGUGUAGCGGUGAAAUGCUUAGAUAUCGUCAAGAACACCGAUAGUGAAGACAGCUUACCAGGCUUCAACUGACGCUGAGGCACGAAAGUGUGGGGAUCAAACAGGAUUAGAUACCC